UCAAAAUCUAAAGCCCCCUCUUCACUUCAUCUUUCUCUCGCUCUCUCUGACCGCGAUCGCUCUCUCAUCCAAAUCCCUUUUCCUCUUCGUUUUCNGACUUAACGUCCGCACUUCUCUCUCUUUCUCUCAUCUCAGCCUCCUNCUCUCAUGUAGGGCGUCAAGGAUCUGGCCAAAAUGACGUUGUUCAUGAAUGAGAGCUAUGCAGACCGAAGGCUUCCUCACCAUCGCAACCCCAAAGAGUUUGUUCCAUUGGACCAUUUGGCAGAUCUUUGGGUGAUGGAGAAUCUGGGUCAAAGUUUUCGAGCCCGGUCACUGAAUCUAAUAGCCAGGAUGCAUCACUCAUUGCUUUCAGUUCCUACCCUCAAUGCUCCGUUGCUCAUGCGACACUACUUCUCUGCCCCUAGUUUCCUUGUCUCUAACUUUCCCAGCAACCAGGAAUUGGUGGAGCCGGUGACGCCAGACUAUGAUGAGGAGAGAGUCGAACAAUGUUGACGGGUCAUGGCGGUUGAACUUCGACGGUUUCCAGGUGUCCUCAGAGAGCACAAGGAGAAAAGACUUCCCCGUGGCCUCCAUGACUGCCUGGGGGNUUUAGUGCAGGAGAAGCUGCGUAAUAGUUGAAGCUGCCAUUAUGGUUUUUGUUGUAAAAAUUUCAAGGUUAAGGCAAUUCAAUUUUAGUUCUGUGUUUAUGACUUUUAUUGUAUAUUAGUUUCAUAGUUGGUCAUUUCAUAUUAAUAUUCUUUCAAUAGUUAAUAGCCACAUUUGUAUGAAAACUUGAUCAUAUUUGCACUGUAGUCUCUUAGGAAAAUGGAAAGGGAAAAAAAAAAAAAAAAAAAAAGGUAAGUCUUAAAGGAGAAAAAAUGAUUAGAAAGAGAUUCAAAUUUUCUGUUGUAAGUCCAGUUUAAUGGCCUUGUUGAAAUUAUAUAAAGACAAUAUCUAGUUUGAGGUUUCUUGUUUGUGGAUGUGGGUGUCCGAAUCUAACAAAGUUGUAAUUCCUUUCAUUGCGAAAUAAGGAAGUCAGUAUGGGUUUUCCUCAAAAUUUGGCCACUUGCCGAUCGAAUUGGACUUUGAGUCAAGCAAAAUAAGGAAAUUUAUACAAGAUUGCAAGUUGGCGUGAUGGAUGUUGAGACAUUGGAGUGCAAGCUGGCGUGAUGGCUUUUCCAAGUGGCUUUAUGAGUUUAUAAGGACUUAUUGUCCAAGUCCAAAUAGAAAAUAUUAGUUUAAUCAUUUACGAACUUUUAUAACAUUUGAAUUGUACCAUACAUUUGGCCAAGUUAUAAUAUUUCAAUUUUACCGUA